GUAAGGAAUAUUGGUCAAUGGACGAAAGUCUGAACCAGCCAUGCCGCGUGAAGGAUGAAGGCCCUCUGGGUUGUAAACUUCUUUUAUCUGGGACGAAAAAAGGGUAUUCUUACUCACUUGACGGUACCAGAGGAAUAAGCACCGGCUAACUCCGUGCCAGCAGCCGCGGUAAUACGGAGGGUGCAAGCGUUAUCCGGAUUCACUGGGUUUAAAGGGUGCGUAGGUGGGUAUUUAAGUCAGUGGUGAAAUCUCCGAGCUUAACUCGGAAACUGCCAUUGAUACUAUUUACCUUGAAUGCCCUGGAGGUAAGCAGAAUAUGUCAUGUAGCGGUGAAAUGCUUUGAUAUGACAUAGAACACCAAUUGCGAAGGCAGCUUACUACGGGGUGAUUGACACUGAGGCACGAAAGCGAGGGGAGCAAAUGGGAUUAGAAACCCUAGUAGUCC
rnacentral:rRNA from 1 species